CACCGCUGUGCAAAUUACCCCCAUCUCGAACCCAACUCCACAAUCCUAACCCGUGCCUGCCGCCGCCGCCCUCGUGCUCGAUCCACAGUCCUGCCGCCGGCCUCGCGCUCCACCCCGUCGUCAAGCCGUCGUCUCGGAGCUCGCACUCCCCCGCCCCUGAGCUCCACCCCGUCAUCCACCCGUCCUUGCAAUCCGCCCCUCCCCCCGAGAUCCAUAUCCUGAGAUCGAGCCGCCGCCCUCUUGAUGCACAUCGAACCGCCGUCCUCGCGCCGCCCCCUCGACAUCCCGCUGUCCUCCUCGCCAAUCCCCGUUCCUGCUGCUGCCGGGGCUCCAUCUCCGGGCUCCCACUGCUGUCCCACCUGCUGUUGCCGGGGCUCCAUCUCCGGGUUCCCGCUGCUGCUGGAUCUCCUGCUACCUGGGCUCCCUCUGCGGGCUCGCGCUGCUGCUGGGCCUGCUGCUACCGGGGAUCCAUCCCCUUCGAGCUGCGCCCCUCCCGAAGCCAGCUGGCGCCGUGCCCUGAGUGAGGUCAUGGCGGAAGACAACAAUGAUAAUUGAUACAUCGUAGAUGGACCUGGAAGCAAUGCUACGAAGAGUGUCAAAUGGAGGUGGCUUCUCAUGGUAGUGAGGAUGUGGCCAUACAGCCAAUCAGCCAUAUAGGCAAGGAAAAGAGAUGGUGCAGAAGGAGCUUCAGCAGGCAUGAUGGUUCGACAACCACAACCUUGCAAGGCCAUCCCCAUGGCCCAGCAACACUAUUUCAGGUUUGCCUCUCGCUCCCUACCCAGCCACUCUAUAGUGGACGUUAUUACUUUGUCUUCUCCAUGGACUAAUUGGUUAUUGUUGUGGUUACUCCAUGGACUAAUAUGACCUUUGCACCGAAACCAUUUAUUUUACAAAAUUGCCUACCUUUGUUCUAGCAUAUUAAAUUUUAACAGCAUGCUCCAGUGCCUACAAAUUGUUCCAUCGGAACAUUAUUUUUGUUCUGCCAUCAUGAAAUGUGUGAAGUUUGCAAUGACUGGAGAUCUCACCAAUAGUCAUCUCUCCAAAAAUUCCUCUUGUUCUAGUCAUAUGCUUAACUUAUUUUUUAGAUAAUGGAAGAUGGUUUCUCAGCCUCUGCAUCAUUCCAUAAUUUAUAUUGCCCGGACUUGUUAUUUCUCUGUGGCUUGAUCUGGGAUCCUACUUUGUUAUACAAGCGUCUGCUAGUUAAUGCUUUGCCAUUGUUUCUCUUGGGAUCACUCUUUAUAUCAUAAUAUUUUUACAUACUGCAUUUAUGCUCUAUCUACAUUGGAAUUAGACAUGUCAUCCUUGACUGUUACCUCAGUCUGCUCAACUUUAUAUUGUAGAAAUUAUGUUUUUGUUAAUUAUAACUACAUACUAUUCUUUCACUAUUUCUGAUAAAAUCAGAAUAUUAUUUUUUGAUAAGCUGGAAGGGAGGUCAUUAUCUACAACUACUUACCAUCUCCCAUUUCAUCAAACUAAUAAACAACGGUUCAAAUGGCUGGUGCUGCUAGGAAAGGGAGAUCCUUAUCUGGAAAUGCUUAACACCUGUUAUCUCAUCAGUGUAAAAACUAUGGUAGCCCACUAAGGUUGUAUUACCAAUAUUAGGGUAUUUAUUGUAGACUUUGUAGUUUGCGGUUAAUGACAAUUCUGUAUUACUCCCUCUGUCCCAAAAUAAGUGUGCAACUUUGUAACAAAGUUGUACUAAAGUUGAGACACUUAUUUUAACACGGAGGGAGUAUUUUGGGAGUUGUGAAUGCUAUGCAAUGUUGUGAAUGCGUAGUAUACUAGUAUACUUCUUUAAUUUAUUUGAAUAAUUUCCUCUUGACUAGGAUGAAUGAGAAAAUAUCUUCAUGUGGUUAUAUGUGCAUUGCAUGUGCACACUUACUAGUUAGAGUAAAAAAUAGAUGCAAAUAGUGUUGUUACAUACAGUUGUCAUAAUUACAAUGCCUGGUGAGAAACAAAUUACUUUUAGUCUUGCCAACAAUAGCCAGGAACCACGACCACCAGCAUGCAGCAUGGCCAAUGGGUGGAGAACGGAUGGCUACCUCGCUGGGAACCAUGGUUGCGCACGUGCAGCAGAAACCAAAUGUUGGAUGGAAGGCUACCUCAUGGGGAACUAGGGCCACAACUUGUAGUGUCCAACUGGUGGCGAAUGGAAGGCUACCUGGCCGUGUACCUCAACUACUAGGCACUUAGCCAACUGGUGCACAUGGACGUGAUGACUUUGAAGUGUUUAUGGACCAACCAACAUGCCAACUGGUGCACAUGGACGUGAUGACUUUGAAGUGUUUAUGGACCAACCAACCUGUAAACAUGGAUCUUAUGUGUCUUCUAGACCAUUUGGUGUUUCGGAUAUGUUGGAGUUUGCACUUUGUGCAAGUGGAUACAGACUUGUGUGUUCUGGACCAUCCAGCUGAAGUCUCUCAUACCAGCAAAUAGUGCUCAUCUUUCUGUGACUUGUGUGUUCUAGGUGAUUGUUAAGAUGGUCAAAACUAUGCUUUGCCAAGAUUGAUGUGUUUGUCAACUUGCGGUCAAUGUAUAUGCAUGUUCGUGAACA